rnacentral:rRNA from 1 species
UACGGGGGGGGGCAAGCGUUGUUCGGAAUUACUGGGCGUAAAGGGCGCGUAGGCGGCCAACUAAGUCGGAUGUGAAUCCCACGCUCAACUUGGGAACUGCAUCCGAUACUGGUCGGCUUGAAUCCGGGAGAGGGAUGCAGAAUUCCAGGUGUAGCGGUGAAAUGCGUAGAUAUCUGGAGGAAUACCGGUGGCGAAGGCGGCAUCCUGGACCGGCAUUGACGCUGAUGUGCGAAAGCUAGGGGAGCAAACGGG